GUCACCUCUGAGGCGGUGCAGUCUCCAGCAGAAGGCGCUGGAACCGGAGACACUGUUAAAGAUGAGUCAAUGUGUCCCAUAGCAACGAGAGAUGGACAGUGGAUUCACUCGGUCGAUAGUUCUCUGUCGUCGUCCGACAGCGAGGACGAGGGCCUAGGCAAGAAAGACAAGAAGAAAAAACUCAAAAAGAAGAAGAAGAAGAAGGACUCGAGCUCUUCCUCUUCAUCCUCCUCAUCUUCAUCUGACAGUGAAAAGGACAAAAAGAAAAAGAAGAAGAAAGACAAGAAGAAGAAGAAAGACAAGAAGAAGG
ensembl:lncRNA